GUGCGCCAAGCAAAGUGCGUAAAAUUCAGUUAGUGAAAAUCCAACUUAGGCAAAGUCUAGCCAACAGCCUAGAACAAACCAUUAUGCUGCGUAAGGUAACGAACGUAGUAAAGCUAAUGGAAUGGACAAUACAGGGUGCAACGAAAGUGAAGGUAUUGAGUUCCGAAAUUGCCAACAUCAUGGAGGUCGACACUUUCCAUAUAGUGGAAGACAGUAUGAAGGAUAACGACAAGGCAAGUUAUCACUGGGAUCUGAGGCCGUGUCAUGUAUUGAGAUGGAGUUUAUGUAAACUUGGGAGAUCCUUUGUAUUCCUAUUAAGGUACGUUGGAACAAGUCAACAAAGGCGAGAAUUAACGGAAGAUACAAAGGAAGUCGGACUGAUUGAUAGUACUCAGAGUGUGGGAAACAAGGGGAAGCGAUCAGCGGUAUAGUUAGGGAUUGUUACACCAACACAACAGAGGUUGGGAUAUGAUGCAAGGAAAACUAAAUCAGAUAGCAGUAAUCAAAGAUGCUGUGAAUGCUACACUGAAGAGCCGUAUGCGGGAAAUUCGCAAGUACGGUUCUGUUGGGGGGAUCAUAGCAACUAAACCUAAUAGGAGGAUUUAAAGUUAUGAUC
rnacentral:autocatalytically_spliced_intron from 1 species